AAUUUCGAUGAUACAAAUUAUUUGAAUCAUUAGUUAGUUUUCUAACGAUAAUUAAAUAUAGUUACUAUGUCGGAGAAGUUUUUGUAUAUGGAGAACACCUCUGUUAUUAAAAUCCACGAACGUAAUGUAUCUAAUAUUCUAACGUCGUUCAAUGGGCAGGCGUUAUGUUACAGGUACGGUGAAAAACUGGAUGUUGAAAAGGAAAGUUGACAAUUUGAAAGUUGAAACCUUGACGUUUAUUACAGAAUCAGGCAUAAAGUCAACCAUCUGUAUCAAUAUAGAACAAAAGUAUCAUGCUAUGUAGCAGACCUUCUUGUUUCGGUAGAAUUCUCAAACCAAAGUCUACUUCGAUAUUUGCGAUGAACUGAAAGGUGACUUUUUGGGCAACAUAGCAUUAUCAUUUUCAAUAUAUGUGAAAGGGAACUGAAAGAAACUAUUCAAGAUUAAUAUUUUGUUUGUUUGUUGUUUUUUAAAGGAUUUGUAUGAAUUCUGAUUCAACUAGGUUGUACAGUAUGCACCAAAUGUCUGUUUUGAAAUUAGUCAACCAAACUCAACAUAAUUAUUGUGUUUAUCAAGAAGUCCCGCAUUUUGAGGAUCUAAUCUCCGUGUAUUUGUUUUUAAAAUCAGCGAGGCUCCUAAUAUGCUUCACGAAGUAAGAUUACUCAAAAUUAUACAUCUAAGAAACAUCUCGCAUUCUACAACAGCCAAUUUAAAUCUAUAAAGAGACCAUAUCUACUUUUUAUAGUAGUAAGUACCUUUAUGAAAACGAACAACACCUUAAAUAACUUGAUAUAAAAAUGUUCCUGAUAACGGCC
rnacentral:lncRNA from 1 species